CGUUCUCGCAGUUAGCUUCGAUUUCACAGAAACUGCACCCGCUGCUGUGCAUGGUGUCCACACCGCAUCGCAUGCUUCUUUCACAAUAUUGGCACAAAGUGCACAGAGCAACUGCACAGUCAUGCUUUGUGCCAAUCUAACCCUUCCCCGGGUUCGCGCUUUCCUGGACGCUGAUACCGGGCAGCUACCAGUACUGCAAGUCUUCCAUUUUGGGAAAUCAUCCCUGGAGGCAAAUCGGAAGGGGAGGGGUCAGAUGCCAAGGAUNCAAAAACCAUGAUGGUGUAGCAAGGAAAGGGACGAACACAACCCCCAUCAACGCCGCCAGCCGUUUUGUACUCGACUUCCAGUGCUAAACCCCAUUGAGACUGCAGCCCAAAGCAGCUGGAGGGAGGGGCACAGGUUGGCAAAGGAAACUUCUGGAGAGUGACUCGUGGGGAAGAACUUCCUCUUGGAAUCUCUCUGAACAUUCCGCGGCUGCAAGUUUCUGCCGCAGGCGUUUGGCAGCCAAAAGGAUCGGGGAUGAUUCCUCUGGUGGGCUUGUGGGAAGCAAGNCGGCGACUGCAGCAUUUAUUUUGUCCUAAAAGGCCCCAUAAUAUUGCUUGANAUGCGCAGCUUUUAAAAACCCGAGGCGGGGAGGAGAGAGAAGAACUCCCCUCAAGCUCUCCUCUGGUUCAAGUGCGUGCAAAACUGNCCCCUCCCCUCCCCGCUCCGAACAAGCACAACUAGCGGCUCCCUCGCGCUACUGCGCCUGCUCGGCGUGCGCUGCUGCGCCCAGGGGCAGAGCCUCUCUGUCCAGCAGCAGUAUAUCUGCGGCUGCAAGAAGACGCGGCGGGCGCUGAAGCCGAAGCGCGCCGCGCUCUCCGCCCGCUGCCCUGUAUUGCCAGUCCGGAGUUUGCCGGCGGGGAUGGACUGAGCGACCCCCCCCCCCAUCAGCCCUCCGAGCCGAACGGGUCCCCCGUCCCUUGGCGGCUCUCUCCGCACCAAGAGGAGCCAGAGAGCGACCAAGCGAGCCUGAUCCGCCCAAGCCCGGGGGCUCCACCCCUCGCCGCCCGCCCGGUCGGCCAGCUGCCUGUUGCGGCUCAGGGCGCUGGGCGGGGCACCUGCGGGAUGGAGCCUGGCCCGGCCCAGCCCAGCCCGGCCCGGCCCAGCCCAGCCCGGAUCUGUCUGCAUCGCUCUUUGCCGCCCGGCGCCCCGCACUCCUGUCUGCCCGCUCUCCGCUUGACUGGAAUCCGCUCCCCUCGCUUGGCCCCUGUCGCGCCAGGGCGCGGUGGGCAAACAUUCCUGUCUUUCCCCAAGAUGUGAAGAUCGCUGUUGGAGGCAAGUUAUACAGAGAGUGCACAAUGCAAUCUUGAAAGCAGGUUGUGGUUUCCCUCACCUUCCCUGCUAUUGNCU
rnacentral:lncRNA from 1 species